rnacentral:rRNA from 1 species
CAGUAGCCGCGGUAAUACAGAGGGUGCGAGCGUUAAUCGGAUUUACUGGGCGUAAAGCGUGCGUAGGCGGCUUCUUAAGUCGGAUGUAAAAUCCCUGAGCUUAACUUAGGAAUUGCAUUCGAUACUGGGAAGCUAGAGUAUGGGAGAGGAUGGUAGAAUUCCAGGUGUAGCGGUGAAAUGCGUAGAGAUCUGGAGGAAUACCGAUGGCGAAGGCAGCCAUCUGGCCUAAUACUGACGCUGAGGUACGAAAGCAUGGGGAGCAAACAGGAUUAGAUACCCCGGUAGUCCCUGUCUCUUAUAC